AAUGAACGCUGGCGGCAUGCCUUACACAUGCAAGUCGAACGGCAGCAUGACCUAGCUUGCUAGGUUGAUGGCGAGUGGCGAACGGGUGAGUAAUGCAUCGGAACGUGCCUUUUAGUGGGGGAUAACGUAGCGAAAGUUACGCUAAUACCGCAUAUUCUCUGAGGAGGAAAGCAGGGGGCCUUCGGGCCUUGCGCUAGAAGAGCGGCCGAUGUCGGAUUAGCUAGUUGGUGAGGUAAAGGCUCACCAAGGCAACGAUCCGUAGCGGGUCUGAGAGGAUGAUCCGCCACGCUGGGACUGAGACACGGCCCAGACUCCUACGGGAGGCAGCAGUGGGGAAUUUUGGACAAUGGGCGCAAGCCUGAUCCAGCCAUGCCGCGUGAGUGAAGAAGGCCUUCGGGUUGUAAAGCUCUUUCGGCUGGGAAGAAAUCGCACUCUCUAAUACAGGGUGUGGAUGACGGUACCAGCAUAAGAAGCACCGGCUAACUACGUG
rnacentral:rRNA from 1 species